rnacentral:rRNA from 1 species
UACAGAGGGUGCGAGCGUUGUUCGGAAUUAUUGGGCGUAAAGCGCGUGUAGGCGGCCUAGCAAGUCGGGUGUGAAAGCCCUCAGCUUAACUGAGGAAGGGCGCCCGAAACUGCCUGGCUUGAGUACCAGAGAGGAUGGCGGAAUUCCCGAAGUAGAGGUGAAAUGCGUAGAUAUCGGGAGGAACACCUGUGGCGAAAGCGGCAUACUGGACCACAACUGACGCUGAGGCGCGAAAGCUAGGGGAGCAAACAGG